AGUUGUAGUAUUUCCUCGUAAUAACUCAUGUGACCCUUAAAACGCCAAGGGUCGAUUGUAUAGUAGUCUAAUUUUCCCCAAGUGUGACUCUACAUGAAUGUGCCAUAUCGCCUCGUCCCGGACUUGUUCCUAUAUUUUGUGUUCUUUCGCCACAGGUUUCCUAAUACUGAAUAAAAGAUGCGUUUAUUUGGGCAGAAAUGUCUUAAACGACAUUUACAAAAAUGAAAUUAUAACAUUAUCAGACUCCUAUCAGAUUAAUUCAUGUUUGGAGGUGGGAGACGGAGCCUAUCUUCGCUUCAAGGAGCGUUAGGCAGGAGCCAAUCCCGGAGCGGAGAGCGCAUGUGAAAAUAUCAGACGUGUAAUUCAUUUUUAGACAUCAUAUUAAGAUGAAGUACAAGUGAAAGAGUAAUCGUGCGUUAAUAACGCCCUAAAGUUCUCGCCUGCAGACUUCCUCGUUCUCCCACUGAAUGUUUCGACCCGUCUCACAGGUUCUGUUGCAGUACUGCCUCUCGCCGCUAGAGGACUGUCGUACCUCACUCAUCAAACAGUCCAAUCGAAGACUGUUCAGCGCACAAUUUCAGCGUCGUGUGUAAGGGAAUCGCGUUCAGCUGGGUGGAAGCAGGACAAAGUGCACUGCAUUUAAAGUGAUGACUGGCCAUUUCUCUCUUUAUGUCUUUCUAAUUGAACGACGAUUACGAAAUGAGCUUCUUUAGUAGAAAACAUCCGUUGAUGUCCCGAACCUAUUAAUUUAGACUAUCAAAUGGGCCACCACUCGACUGCGUAAGGUAAUGUGAACCGAGAGAAUCGACGAUCGCCAUUCCCACACGAGAGUCGCUCAUCAUUCAGUCUCACGAUGUUGUAACGAUCCGAUGACACCAAGUACCAGGCUACCUUAAAGGCCCCUUCAGUGGUCUCUGCCAACAAAGAUGGCCCCAGUCCAGUUUUGGCUCCUCACGCCGAUUGUCUGUGGUGACUCUGAUUUCCGCCCCUACAAUUGGAGGUCCUGCUCCCAGUUUGAUUGCAGGUGUGGCUUUUUUGCCUCAAUUUAGGACAUGAAAGGUGAAGUGCUGACAAUGCCAAGUAACUCCUGGGGUUUCCCGAUGAGAAGGCAGCAUGUCACUCGGAGCGCCAGUUUACACCCGGCAUUCUGCAGAGCCAACACUGCCAUGUAAGCUCAAACGAGAUCUUCUGCUAGACAGAUGACUGGAGCCCCACAAUACAAUGUUGCUUUGUGCUUUUCUGGGAAAAUGGAGAAGUGCUUAAGCUCCAAACAACUCUAAACAAGUCUUUUGGUUGUCCAUGUAAGCCUUUGUAAGAUCUACCUGGGCAAGUCAUAGCUGGCAUCUGUGAAGCAAACUCAGUAUAUAAAAAUGACACCAAUGAAAUGGACAAACUCGGCUUUGGACCGCGGCCUUCAUGUGCUUCAAAAAGGUAGAUGACAGACUGAGUUGGACGGCCCGUCUUUUAGGCUCCUCGUGUUUUAGUGGAUGUAUUGAUUCUCUUUCCGUUUUAUUUUAUUAUAAGGUCCAUCUAUAGAAAGCAAACAGAUUGUGAACUUUUACAAACUGCGCUGCCUGUUAACAGUCGGUUUGAAUUCCCAAAUCCUGAUGCCUGCCCUCUGCCCACAUUGAAUGUUCAACUCCUUCCUUUGGCGAGUCCUAAUUGCAGUCUGAAACUUAAAAUUGUGACUUUGAGAUCUGUUUAGAAUUUAUAUGUCACGGCUCUACAAUGUAUCUUUGACCAAUUAAAAUGUAAAUUUAGACCUA